UAACUGCGAGUGAAGCGGGAAAAGCUCAAAUUUAAAAUCUGGCGGUCCUUGGCUGUCCGAGUUGUAAUUUAGAGAAGCGUCUUCCGCGCCGGACCGUGCACAAGUCUCCUGGAAUGGAGCGUCGUAGAGGGUGAGAAUCCCGUCUUUGGCACGGAUACCCGGUGCUUCUGUGAUGCGCUCUCGAAGAGUCGAGUUGUUUGGGAAUGCAGCUCAAAAUGGGUGGUGAACUCCAUCUAAAGCUAAAUAUUGGCGAGAGACCGAUAGCGAACAAGUACCGUGAGGGAAAGAUGAAAAGCACUUUGGAAAGAGAGUGAAACAGUACGUGAAAUUGUUGAAAGGGAAACGCUUGAAGUCAGUCGCGUCGACCGAGACUCAGCCUUGCCUUGGCUUGGUGUACUUCUCGGACUGACGGGUCAGCGUCGAUUUUGCUGCUCGGAUAAUGGCAAGGGAAAGGUGGCACCUUUGCGGGUGUGUUAUAGUCUCCUGUCGCAUGCGAGGGGVGAGAUCGAGGAACUCAGCGCGCGCCUCUGGCGUCGGGGCUUUGGCCCACGUAACGCGCUUAGGACGGUGGCGUAAUGGCUUUAAACGACCCGUCUUGAAACACGGACCAAGGAGUCCAACGUGCCCGCGAGUGUUCGGGGGGAAAACCCGUGCGCGUAAUGAAAGUGAAAGUUGGGACCUCUGUCGUGGAGGGCACCGACGCCCGGACCAGACCUUCUGUGACGGAUCUGCGGUAGAGCGUGCAUGUUGGGACCCGAAAGAUGGUGAACUAUGCCUGAAUAGGGUGAAGCCAGAGGAAACUCUGGUGGAGGCUSGUAGCGAUUCKACGUGCAAAUCGAUCGUCAAAUUUGGGUAUA
rnacentral:rRNA from 1 species